rnacentral:rRNA from 1 species
UACGUAGGGUGCAAGCGUUGUCCGGAAUUAUUGGGCGUAAAGAGCUCGUAGGCGGUCUGUCGCGUCGGCUGUGAAAACUCGGGGCUCAACUCCGAGCUUGCAGUCGAUACGGGCAGGCUAGAGUUCGGCAGGGGAGACUGGAAUUCCUGGUGUAGCGGUGAAAUGCGCAGAUAUCAGGAGGAACACCGGUGGUGUAAACGGCUUUCUGGACCAUUUCUGACGCUGAGGCACGAAAGCGUGGGUAGCAAACAGG